rnacentral:rRNA from 1 species
UUUUUCCUACGGGACGCAGCAGUAGGGAAUAUUGCUUAAUGGGGGAAACCCUGAUGCAGCAACGCCGCGUGAAGGAAGACGGUUUUCGGAUUGUAAACUUCUUUUCUUAGUGAAGAAGCAAGUGACGGUAGCUAAGGAAUAAGCAUCGGCUAACUACGUGCCAGCAGCCGCGGCAAUACGUAGGAUGCGAGCGUUACCCGGAAUUACUGGGUGUAAAGGGAGCGCAGGCGGGACUGCAAGUUGGGUGUGAAAUACCGC